GCCUACUGCAUGAUGGUCAAUGGUAGACUCUACAAAAAAGUGUUAGCCCAAAUGGGGUUACUAAUAUAUCACAGAUCGCUAGUACUUAAUGAGUACAACAGAAACAAAAGCCUUUGCUAACAAAAGUGGGUUGCAUUAUUUUAGCUCGAACAAUAUUUGUAUAGGUAACAAUUUCGACCAGUAACAUCUACCUUCGCGCCGACUAAGAUACCCAAUAACAACACAAUCCUGAUGUUGAAAUCACGGCUAUUGUUCAUCCUUAAGUACUUCCAAAGGUUUUGAAGGAUCUGAAUAUCUGCUAUCUGAUCAUCGAUGUCCUUCUUUGGGGCAUCUUCAUGCACGUUGUCAUCAGCCGUUUUCCCAGCGGUAGCAUUGGCAGAAGUGGAGAAGGCAUUCGCUCUCUAAAAAACAAGCAAGGAUCACAAAACCAUAAUUUGGCAAAGAAAUACUCACUCCGUCCCAAAAUAACUGUCUCAAGCCUAGUACAACUUUGUACUAGAACUAGUACAAAGUUGAGACACUUAUUUUGGGAGGAGGGAGUAGUACCUUUUAUGAAGAAAAGGAACAUAACAGAUGCAUCAACCUCUUUCUAUCGUUUUGUCAACCAUUGAUGUCAUGAACCAACCACAAAACAAUACUUGAUUAACCAUAUUUUCAGUUGGAGCUAAAAAAGUUUUGUCAACCAUUGAUGUCAUGAACCAACCACAAAACAAUACUUGAUUAACCAUAUUUUCAGUUGGAGCUAAAAAAGGCAGGGUAAGUGCAGUUACAGUUCAUAGGAUCAGAGGAAGUAGAAAGAGAAAUGCAAUGUGCUCCACACUUGUACUUCAUUUUGGGCUUUGACAAAUUAAUCCAGAAACUGAUUUUCAUACAGAAACACACUGGAAAGUUGAGUGCAUGCAGGUUGCAGGUUGUCUCAGGUUCUCAACAGAGAAAACUUUGUAUGUGGAAAUAAGGCUGCACUGAAGCUUCUAGAUUCAUCCCUUGGCAACCACUAUACAAGAAACUGAAGCCCAAAGAUAGCAUUAAAAAAUCACCCUCCUAUUGCCCGCUACUGAAGGAUAGAUUGAAAAGUGGUGAAGCGCAAAUCCAAAUCCCUCGUGCUCUCAUCCUCGUCGGCGCCACCGGCACCAUCAGCAGGGUUCCGUCCGUUGUCGGCGCCGCGCUUCGGCCGGCGAUUGGGCAUCGGGAGGGAGGGAGGUCAUGGUCGUGGUCGUCGCCUCUCUCAGGUUGGGUGUUUGUAGGAGCAGAGGAGAGCAAAGCAGGGAUCUUGGUAUGGAGCUUGGAGACUGCCGGAGCGCCUCCCCCGUGGCUAGCUAGCGCAUCGAAGGAGCUAGCGACGGUGUUAGUGACGGAUCCGUGCACCACGUCAUCGAAAAUGGGACCCACAUGGCAUAGUCAUGCUUAAAACGCUCCAACCGACGGGAUUGUGUUUUUGCAAAAAAUUAGGCGAUUUUUGUGUGUUUUCUGCAACGAAUGCGUAAGAGGGUGUUUUUUCGCAAAAGUUCGCUUCAUUGUGGUGGUUUUCUGCAAUUAACUCAGAUCUCCAGGUGCGUACGUGGAAUUCUUGCUCUCUUUCUCCACUCCCAAAACACGACUGCAUGCAGGCCAAGUUAAUGUGGGGAUUAGUGCUAGAUAGCAUUGGUUCUCUCAUUCGAAGAGUCAAACUGAAGAUUCAGAACCAUGCACUUUGGAUUCAGAACCAGCAAGGCUACAUGGAGAAUCGGCAACAAGGUUCAGACUGAAGAUUGACGAAGAAGAUUAAACCUGACGAAAUAUUGAGUGGUCCUUCUUGCAUCUUGGCUUUGGGAUGGAGUACCACUGCCAUGGCGCCAUCCCACAUCACAGCUUCGCCAUGGCAACUUGGCAAGGAGCCAGCUUCAAUCAACCUAGUCAUGUCGCUGGAUCAGUGUUUCCUUGCAUGGACUCGGGUAGGAGAAGGAUGUGGGGACAGCUAAGAAUCCCUGCCUGCAAGCAUCUACAGUUGCAAAAAGAAUUGAGAUAACAAAGAG
rnacentral:lncRNA from 1 species